UCCUGGCUCAGGACGAACGCUGGCGGCGUGCUUAACACAUGCAAGUCGAACGGUGACGAUGGAGCUUGCUCUGUCUGAUCAGUGGCGAACGGGUGAGUAACACGUGAGUAACCUGCCCCCGACUCUGGAAUAACCGUGGGAAACGACGGCUAAUACCGGAUAUGAGACGCACAGGCAUCUGUGGGUCUGGAAAGAUUUAUCGGUCAGGGAUGGACUCGCGGCCUAUCAGCUUGUUGGUGGGGUAAUGGCCUACCAAGGCGACGACGGGUAGCCGGCCUGAGAGGGCGAUCGGCCACACUGGGACUGAGAUACGGCCCAGACUCCUACGGGAGGCAGCAGUGGGGAAUAUUGCACAAUGGGCGCAAGCCUGAUGCAGCGACGCCGCGUGAGGGAUGAAGGCCUUCGGGUUGUAAACCUCUUUCAGCAGGGAAGAAGCGAAAGUGACGGUACCUGCAGAAGAAGCGCCGGCUAACUACGUGCCAGCAGCCGCGGUAAUACGUAGGGCGCAAGCGUUGUCCGGAAUUAUUGGGCGUAAAGAGCUYGUAGGCGGUUUGUCGCGUCUGCUGUGAAAACCUGAGGCUCAACCUCGGGCUUGCAGUGGGUACGGGCAGACUAGAGUGCGGUAGGGGUGACUGGAAUUCCUGGUGUAGCGGUGGAAUGCGCAGAUAUCAGGAGGAACACCGAUGGCGAAGGCAGGUCACUGGGCCGCAACUGACGCUGAGGAGCGAAAGCAUGGGGAGCGAACAGGAUUAGAUACCCUGGUAGUCCAUGCCGUAAACGUUGGGCACUAGGUGUGGGGCUCAUUCCACGAGUUCCGUGCCGCAGCAAACGCAUUAAGUGCCCCGCCUGGGGAGUACGGCCGCAAGGCUAAAACUCAAAGAAAUUGACGGGGGCCCGCACAAGCGGCGGAGCAUGCGGAUUAAUUCGAUGCAACGCGAAGAACCUUACCCAAGGCUUGACAUACACCGGAAAAGUGCAGAGAUGUGCUCCCCGCAAGGUCGGUGUACAGGUGGUGCAUGGUUGUCGUCAGCUCGUGUCGUGAGAUGUUGGGUUAAGUCCCGCAACGAGCGCAACCCUCGUCCUAUGUUGCCAGCGGGUCAUGCCGGGGACUCAUAGGAGACUGCCGGGGUCAACUCGGAGGAAGGUGGGGAUGACGUCAAAUCAUCAUGCCCCUUAUGUYUUGGGCUUCACGCAUGCUACAAUGGCCGGUACAAAGGGCUGCGAUACCGCGAGGUGGAGCGAAUCCCAAAAAGCCGGUCUCAGUUCGGAUUGGGGUCUGCAACUCGACCCCAUGAAGUCGGAGUCGCUAGUAAUCGCAGAUCAGCAACGCUGCGGUGAAUAC
rnacentral:rRNA from 1 species